CUACGGGGGCUGCAGUGGGGAAUAUUGGACAAUGGGCGAAAGCCUGAUCCAGCCAUGCCGCGUGUGUGAAGAAGGCCUUCGGGUUGUAAAGCACUUUCAGUGGGGAAGAAAGCCUUGGGGCUAAUACCCUCGAGGAAGGACAUCACCCACAGAAGAAGCACCGGCUAACUCCGUGCCAGCAGCCGCGGUAAUACGGAGGGUGCGAGCGUUAAUCGGAAUUACUGGGCGUAAAGCGCGCGUAGGCGGUCUGAUAAGCCGGUUGUGAAAGCCCCGGGCUCAACCUGGGAACGGCAUCCGGAACUGUCAGGCUAGAGUGCAGGAGAGGAAGGUAGAAUUCCCGGUGUAGCGGUGAAAUGCGUAGAGAUCGGGAGGAAUACCAGUGGCGAAGGCGGCCUUCUGGACUGACACUGACGCUGAGGUGCGAAAGCGUGGGUAGCAAACAGGAUUAGAUACCCCGGUAGUC
rnacentral:rRNA from 1 species